UUUGGUGGGGCCUUUGUAUCUCACUCCCGCCACAGCUUGGGAUCGGUCUCUGCUGUUUUACGUCCUCCACCUCGGGAGCCCCCGGUGACUGUCACAGCCUCUUGCCCUGUGAUCUGCAGGUUCUGGGAGACGCACAGCUAAGAUGCCAGGACAUCCUGGAAGCUGGGAAAAGGUUCUGACAACAAAGGAGAUUGUGACAUAUUGCUGGGCCUAACACUAAGGUGAUGUUAGUUAUUUGCUUUGGCUGUGCCCUUGGAAGGCAUUGAGACAUACUGCUGUGCCCAGCACCAAGAUGAUGUGAGUUCCCUGCCUGAACCCUGAUCACAGGAAGCAUUGUGACCUAUCUGUUGACCCACUGCAAUCUCUCCUGUGGGAAAAGCACAGAUAAAUGCCCUCUUUUACCUACGUGAUUUGACACUCCUCUACUGCCUGGGCCGUGCCCACAGAAUAGAGAGUGACUUAUCACUGGACCAAGCACACCAGUGAUGUAAUUAUUCUGCUUGGUCCUUGCACACACAAGUCACUGUGAUAUAUGUUUGGGCCCAUCACCUAGAUGAUGUGA
ensembl:lncRNA novel transcript